rnacentral:lncRNA from 1 species
AUGGACACGUUGAAAACGUUAAUCCACCUACAGGCUGGGAGGCAAGAGGAACAAGUUUUCCACACGAGUAGAGAUGUGGGGUGGAUCAACAUCUCCUUGGCUUUGCCUGGUGAGGAUCUGGAGUCUUUUUGGAGGCAUCAACUCCCCCUUUGCAAACUAAAACGAUCUGGGUGUAUUUUUCCCGACUGUAACCUUGUCUUUGGCCACUGCACUGGGACCUGGGAAGAUGCAAAGCUCUCCAUGCCCAACUUCAGGUAAUUCCCAAUAUCUUGCAAAACUGGAGCAGCUGAGCUUGGGGUUUUUCCCAACCCACCUGCACAGCCAAAACUGAAUUUCCCAAGACUCUGAGCUGCAUCCCAUGAGGAUGAUCUUGUAAUUCCUCUCUUCAGGUGUGUUGUUACAUUCCCUCCCUCAAAUCCAUUGCUCCCACAUUUACUGUCACAGUGGGUGGCUACAAUGGUGACAAAGAACUGGGCAAAGGGAAAAAUUCCCAUGACUCAGAUUCCAUAGGUGUGGUGCUUUGCCAAAACCCUUUCAUUUCCAGAAGCAAAACACCUGAUAAACGUGGUUAUGAAAAUAUCCUCCAGGUUUGGGGUUGUUUUCCUCCCCUAAAAGUGUUAUUUCCACUUUCUGUCCCUUUUUAAUGAAAAGCAGCAAACAGCUGUUGAGAGGUAACAACAUCCCAGACCUCUGCUUUCAUGCAUCAGCGUGCCCAAGGAUAUGGAAAUCUUUAAUGGAAUAAAAGAUAUUCUUAGAAAAUGGACUCUCA